UACGGGGGGUGCGAGCGUUGUCCGGAAUCACUGGGCGUAAAGGGCGCGUAGGUGGUUUGAUAAGGGUGUGGUGAAAGUCCGGAGCUCAACUCCGGAUCUGCCGUGCCGACUGUCAAACUCGAGGGCUGUAGAGGCAGACGGAAUUCCGGGUGUAGCGGUGGAAUGCGUAGAGAUCCGGAGGAAGACCGGUGGCGAAGGCGGUCUGCUGGGCAGUUUCUGACACUGAAGCGCGACAGCGUGGGGAGCAAACAGG
rnacentral:rRNA from 1 species